UACAGAGGUCUCAAGCGUUGUUCGGAUUCAUUGGGCGUAAAGGGUGCGUAGGCGGCGCGGUAAGUCGGGUGUGAAAUCUCGGAGCUUAACUCCGAAACUGCAUUCGAUACUGCCGUGCUUGAGGACUGGAGAGGAGACUGGAAUUUACGGUGUAGCGGUGAAAUUCGUAGAUAUUCGGAAGAACACCAGUGGCGAAGGCGGCUCACUGGACUGGUAUUGACGCUGAGGUGCGAAAGCGUGGGGAGCAAACAGG
rnacentral:rRNA from 1 species